rnacentral:rRNA from 1 species
UACAGAGGGUGCGAGCGUUAAUCGGAAUCACUGGGCUUAAAGCGUGUGUAGGCGGAAUGGUAAGUACCUUGUGAAAUCCCACGGCUCAACCGUGGAACUGCUUGGUAUACUGCUUUUCUUGAGCCACUUAGGGGCAACCGGAACAAACGGUGGAGCGGUGAAAUGCGUAGAUAUCGUUUGGAACGCCAAUGGUGAAAACAGGUUGCUGGGAGUGUGCUGACGCUGAGACACGAAAGCCAGGGGAGCAAACGGG